rnacentral:tRNA from 1 species
AGCUCUGAAGUGUUUCACGCCAGAUUGCAAAUCUAGAAAAGCAGGGUGCAACCUGCCGGGGCUU